UACGUAGGGAGCAAGCGUUGUCCGGAUUCAUUGGGCGUAAAGAGCGUGUAGGCGGCCAGGUAGGUCGGUUGUGAAAACUGGAGGCUCAACCUUCAGAGGUCGACCGAAACCAUCUGGCUAGAGUCCGGGAGAGGAGAGUGGAAUUCCUGGUGUAGCGGUGAAAUGCGCAGAUAUCGGGAGGAACACCAAUGGCGAAGGCAGCUCGCUGGGACGUUACUGACGCUGAGACGCGAAAGCGUGGGGAGCAAACAGG
rnacentral:rRNA from 1 species